rnacentral:rRNA from 1 species
CAGCAGCCGCGGUAAUACGUAGGGUGCAAGCGUUGUCCGGAAUUAUUGGGCGUAAAGAGCUCGUAGGCGGUCUGUCACGUCGGCUGUGAAAACCCGGAGCUCAACUCCGGGCCUGCAGUCGAUACGGGCAAACUGGAGUACUGCAGGGGAGACUGGAAUUCCUGGUGUAGCGGUGAAAUGCGCAGAUAUCAGGAGGAACACCGGUGGCGAAGGCGGGUCUCUGGGCAGUAACUGACGCUGAGGAGCGAAAGCGUGGGGAGCGAACAGGAUUAGAUACCCUGGUAGUCCACGCCGUAAACGU